AAAUUAAAUAUUAUUUAUUUAAUUAGUUUAUUGUUUUUAAUAAAAAUAAUUUUAAAUAUAAAAUUUUAAGUAUUUUUUAAAGAAAAGAUUAUUAUAAUUAUAGAGUAUUAGUAUUGUAAAAGAAAUAUAAAAUAUAUUUAUUUUUAUUUAUAAGUAAAAUUAGUUUUUUGUACCUUGGGUAUCAGGGUUUAUUUAAUAAUAAUUAAUAAUAUUAAUUUUCCCGAAUUUAAAAGAGAGAAUAAAUAAUUUUUUUUAUUGUAAAAAAAAUAUUUAGAAUUAUUUAUUAGUAAUGAAAAGUUAUUCGUUUUUAAAUAUAUCUGGUUUAUAAAGAAAUAAAUUUAAUUUAAUUAAUUUUAUUUUAUUAAUUUAUUUUUUUAAAUUAAUAAAUUUUAUUAAUAAUAAUUAAAGGGAUAAGCUUUUAAUUAAAAUUUUAUAAUUUUUAGUAUUAAUAAAAAAUAUAUAGGUUUAGAAAUAUCCAUUAUUUUUAAUUUGUUGUAAUUAAUUUUUUAAUAAUUAAUAUUUUAUAAUAAUUUAAAAUUUAUAUUUAUAAAUAAUAUUUAAUUAAAUAAUAUUAGGUAUAAUGAUAAAAUUAGUAUAUAUAUAAAUAUAAAUAUUAUUUAUUUUUAGAUUAUUAAAAGGAAUUCGGCAAAAAUUUUAUUCGCCUGUUUAAUAAAAACAUGUCCUUUAGGUAAUUAUAAUUUAAGGUCUAACCUGCCCAUUGAUAAGUUAAAAGGCCGCAGUAAUUUGACUGUGCAAAGGUAGCAUAAUCAUUAGUUUUUUAAUUAAAAGCUUGUAUGAAUGGUUGGACGAGAUAAAAUCUGUCUCUUUAUAAAAAAUAGAAUUUAAUUUUUAAGUUAAAAAGCUUAAAUUUAUAUAAAAGACGAGAAGACCCUAUAGAUCUUUAUAAAAUUUUUUUUAAUAUUAAUAAAGAAAUUUUAAUUUAUUAUAAAAAUUUUUAUUAUAUUGGGGUAAUAAAAAGAUUAAUAUAAUUCUUUUUUUAAUAACAAUUAUUAUUGAUUAUAUGAUCCAUUAUUAAUGAUUAUAAGAUUAAGUUACCUUAGGGAUAACAGCGUAAUUUUUUUAGAGAGUUCUUAUCAAUAAAAGAGUUUGCGACCUCGAUGUUGGAUUAAAAGUAAUUCUAGGUGCAGAAGUUUAGAGUUUUGGUCUGUUCGACCAUUAAAUUUUUACAUGAUCUGAGUUUAGACCGGCGUAAGCCAGGUUGGUUUCUAUCUUUAUUUAUUUAAUAUAUUUUAGUACGAAAGGACCAAUUAUAUAAUAUAUAAAUAUUUAUUUUUUUGAAUUUAAUU
rnacentral:rRNA from 1 species